rnacentral:rRNA from 1 species
UUGAACGCUGGUGGCAUGCCUUACACAUGCAAGUCGAACGGUAACAGGUCUUCGGAUGCUGACGAGUGGCGAACGGGUGAGUAAUACAUCGGAACGUGCCCGAGAGUGGGGGAUAACGGAGCGAAAGCUUUGCUAAUACCGCAUACGAUCUACGGAUGAAAGCGGGGGAUCGCAAGACCUCGCGCGAUUGGAGUGGCCGAUGUCAGAUUAGCUAGUUGGUGGGGUAAAGGCCUACCAAGGCGACGAUCUGUAGCGGGUCUGAGAGGAUGAUCCGCCACACUGGGACUGAGACACGGCCCAGACUCCUACGGGAGGCAGCAGUGGGGAAUUUUGGACAAUGGGCGAAAGCCUGAUCCAGCCAUGCCGCGUGCGGGAAGAAGGCCUUCGGGUUGUAAACCGCUUUCAGCCGGAAAGAAAUCGCCACUUCUAAUACGAGUGGUGGAUGACGGUACCGGAAGAAGAAGCACCGGCUAACUACGU